rnacentral:pre_miRNA from 7 species
GUUUAGCUUGUAGGACCCCCGAUAUGGGGACCCCCACUCUAGUCCAGGGAUAGGGUGCACCCACGAACACACAAGAAUCC